GAUGUGCAGAAAUGUGAAAGAUUUAUUGCCUAGAGAUGAGCUCGAGUCUGAUUAGCUAGUAGGUGUGGUAAUGGCGCACCUAGGCGACGAUCAGUAACUGGUCUGAGAGGAUGACCAGUCACACUGGGACUGAGACACGGCCCAGACUCCUACGGGAGGCAGCAGUGGGGAAUUUUCCGCCAUGGGCGAAAUCCUGACGGAGCAAUACCGCGUGAGGGACGAAGGCUUUUGGGUCGUAAACCUCUUUUCCCUGAGAAGAAGAUCUGACGGUAUCAGGGGAAUCAGCAUCGGCUAACUUCGUGCCAG
rnacentral:rRNA from 1 species